AAUGAAAUGCUAAUGCCGGGGCGCGGAGCCGGGCGCUGCCCGCGCCAAUAAAACCCGGCGCGGCUCGGCGCGGGGGCCCUGCCCGCCACCAGCCCGCAGCCAUGCAGAGCGCGACCCCCGCCGCCCCGCCGGCUCUGCACCUCCUUACCUCCUACUUCAUCGACAGCAUCCUGGGCGCGGGCCGGCACGGUGAGGGGCGGCAGGGCUGGCGGCGGGCCCGGCGGGGUGCUCCCCGCUCUCGCCCCGGUAACUCCCCGCUUCUCUCCCCUCAGGCGAGGAGCGCCCGGCGGAGGAGCCGGUGGGGACGGGGCGGGGGGGGCGCCCGGCCGGCGCGGAGGCGGCAGCGGGCAGCGAGGCGCCGGGUCCGGCCAAGAGGAAGCAGCGGCGGUACCGCACCACGUUCAGCACCUUCCAGCUGGAGGAGCUGGAGCGCGCCUUCCGCAAGUCCCACUACCCCGACGUGUUCACCAGAGAGGAGCUGGCCGUGCGGCUGGACUUGACGGAAGCCCGAGUGCAGAUCCAGUUCAGAAUCCACCUUCAAUGGCCUCCACUGCAGAAGGGGCCAGAAGACCUGAGCAGCUGAGUACAUUCGGGUGUCGAGUGUUCAACCUCAGCAGCAUCCAUUUCCAAACAUCCUUGGUCUACAUCCUCUAUCUCUUGUUUUAGAGCUAAUGCUCCUCACUCCUCUCUGCUACCAUCAUGGGUCUGAAAGGUUCUGCUCACUGAAUGCUAAAGAAUAAAUGUGAAGAGUCACGUUUCUGAUCUGUAGAUUCAAUUGACUAAAGUCUUUAAAAUAUGUUUAAUGGGCUAAAAUGACAACCAGUCAGGCUUGAAGAGGCAACAUUCUCAACAGCUUAAUACAUAAAACCAGUACUAACUAAAGCCCCUUUAGGAACAGCUUGAUACUCUGGUCUAAUAGUGCUUACUAGAUUUUCUAGUUUAGUAUUAGCUUUCACUGCAAUUCAGAUAAUCACUUUCCUGUAACCAUAUGCUGUUUGCAUUCAUGGUAGAUAACAAAAGCUUCUCAUUUUACUUUUGAAUGCUCUAUAUAAAAAUGUCCAGCUAUCACAAUAAAAAGCACACACCAUA
rnacentral:lncRNA from 1 species